GGGUAGAGUAACGCGUGAGUAACCUGCCUUACACAAGGGGAUAGCCUCUGGAAACGGAGAAUAAUACCCUAUGAAACUAUCUUAUCGCAUGAAAAGAUAGUCAAAGUGUUUUAGCGGUGUAAGAUGGACUUGCGUCUGAUUGGCUAGUUGGUGAGAUAACAGCCCACCAAGGCAACGAUCAGUAGCCGGCUUGAGAGAGUGUACGGCCACAUUGGGACUGAGACACGGCCCAG
rnacentral:rRNA from 1 species